AACGAACGCUGGCGGCAGGCUUAACACAUGCAAGUCGAACGCCCCGCAAGGGGAGUGGCAGACGGGUGAGUAACGCGUGGGAAUCUACCCAGCUCUACGGAAUAACUCAGGGAAACUUGUGCUAAUACCGUAUACGUCCGAGAGGAGAAAGAUUUAUCGGAGUUGGAUGAGCCCGCGUUGGAUUAGCUAGUUGGUAGGGUAAUGGCCUACCAAGGCGACGAUCCAUAGCUGGUCUGAGAGGAUGAUCAGCCACACUGGGACUGAGACACGGCCUAGACUCCUACGGGAGGCAGCAGUGGGGAAUAUUGGACAAUGGGCGAAAGCCUGAUCCAGCCAUGCCGCGUGAGUGAUGAAGGCCCUAGGGUUGUAAAGCUCUUUCACCGGUGAAGAUAAUGACGGUAACCGGAGAAGAAGCCCCGGCUAACUUCGUGCCAGCCGCCGCGGUAA
rnacentral:rRNA from 1 species